AUACGUAGGUGGCGAGCGUUGUCCGGAAUUACUGGGUGUAAAGGGCGUGUAGGCGGGAGAGCAAGUCGGAUGUGAAAUCCCAAGGCUCAACUUUGGGGCUGCAUCUGAAACUGUUCUUCUUGAGUACUGGAGAGGGAAGCGGAAUUCCUAGUGUAGCGGUGAAAUGCGUAGAGAUUAGGAGGAACACCAGUGACGAAGGCGGCUUCCUGGACAGAGACUGACGCUGAGGCGCGAAAGCGUGGGGAGCGAACAGGAUUAGAUACCCUGGUAGUCCACGCCGUAAACGAUGGAUACUAGGUGUAGGAGGUAUCGACACCUUCUGUGCCGGAGUUAACACAAUAAGUAUCCCACCUGGGGAGUACGGCCGCAAGGUUGAA
rnacentral:rRNA from 1 species